AGUGAACGCUGGCGGUAGGCCUAACACAUGCGAGUCGAACGGCAGCACAGUAAGAGCUUGCUCUUACGGGUGGCGAGUGGCGGACGGGUGAGGAAUACAUCGGAAUCUACUUUUUCGUGGGGGAUAACGUAGGGAAACUUACGCUAAUACCGCAUACGACCUACGGGUGAAAGCAGGGGAACUUCGGACCUUGCGCGAUUGAAUGAGCCGAUGUCGGAUUAGCUAGUUGGCGGGGUAAAGGCCCACCAAGGCGACGAUCCGUAACUUGUCUGAGAGCAUGAUCAGCCACCCUGAAACUGAGAAACGGUCCAGCCUCCUACGGUAGGCCGCACUGGGGAAUAUUUGACAAUGGUCGCAAGCCUGAUCCAGCCAUACCGCGUAGGUGAAGAAGGCCUUCGGGUUUUAAAGCCCCUUUGUUGGGAAAGAAAAGCAACAGGUUAAUACCCCGCUGUUCUGACGGUACCCGAAGAAUAAGCACCGGCUUACUUCGUG
rnacentral:rRNA from 1 species